AGACGUCUACAUUAGGAUACCCGUGUAGUCCCAGCCGUAAACUAUGCGCGUUAGGUGUAUCGGUGACCACGAGUUACCGAGGUGCCGAAGGGAACCGUGAAACGUGCCGCCUGGGAAGUACGGUCGCAAGGCUGAAACUUAAAGGAAUUGGCGGGGAGCACCACAACAGGUGGAGCCUGCGGUUUAAUUGGACUCAACGCCGGGAAGCUCACCGGAUAGGACAGCAGAAUGAUUGCCGGGCUGAAGACCCUGCAUGACUAGCUG
rnacentral:rRNA from 1 species